AUUGAACGCUGGCGGCAGGCCUAACACAUGCAAGUCGAACGAGUGGCGGACGGGUUAUUAAUGUCUGGGAAACUGCCUGAUGGCGGGGGAUACCUACUGUAAACGGUAGCUAAUCCCGCAUACCCUCGGAUGUGCCCAUAUGGGAUUAGCUAGUAGGUGGGGUAAAGGCUCACCUAGGCCACGAUCCCUAUCUGGUCGGAGAGGAUGACCAGCCACACUGGAACUGAGACACGGUCCAGACUCCUACGGGAGGCAGCAGUGGGGAAUAUUGCACAAUGGGCGCAAGCCUGAUGCAGCCAUGCCGCGUGGAUGAAGAAGGCCUUCGGGUUGUAAAGUACUGUCAGCGGGGAGGCGUUACCCGCAGAAGAAGCACCGGCUAACUCCGUGCCAGCAGCCGCGGUAAUAC
rnacentral:rRNA from 1 species